rnacentral:lncRNA from 10 species
GGGGAGGGGGGGUUCUCCAGCGGCCAGAAGCUCACUGGCUCUACCCGGGACCCUGAGCUGCCUAGGGCUGGGGGAGGCGUCCGAGCAGUCGCGGAGCCUGCCAGACCCUCGGCUAGAAUGGGGACCCGCUGUCCAGCCGAGGCUGGCGGAGGCGCACCGGGGGCGCAGAGGGCGAUGCUAGUAGUCUGGACCCAAAGGACUGCAGGAAGGAGACCGUGAGGAAGCGUCUGUGCCUGGGAAGCCCCAGCUCCUGCUUGGGCCAGGCAGCCAGCACCUACCUGAUCCCGGGGAACCGGAGUCCGGCGGCGGCAGGUGAGCUGUAGACGCUGCUGUGCAUGAUUAUCCCAUAGACCAGCAGGGCCAGCCUCGCUCCGCUACACAUGGUCAUUCUGCGCAGGAUGGGAAAGAGGACACACAGCUGUGAGAACGCCCCUGGCCUCCCACCCUCCAACCCCAAAAAGCUCUGGAAGCCGGGGGAGGGACGGAGCGAAGCCCCGGCUCCCUGAGUUGAACAGCACUUGGCGACAGCCGGUGCGCGCCCUGCCACUUCUUGCUUGCUAUAGUUAGAAAAAAAUAUAUAUAUAUGCAUCUACCCGGCGCCCAAUAACUAGCCAGACCCGGCUGAAGGAAAGCUAACUCCCCUGACGCGAUGCCAAGCGAAAGAAUCAGCAGUCGAGUGAGCCGGUCGCUUUGUCACGUAAUGAUCGGGUAUCAGAAAAAGACGUCAGCAUCCUAGUCCCUCAAGGAACAUAUUAACUAUUCUGUGCUGUCCUCUUGGAUGAUAAGAUCCGGAGUCAUCGACUUCUCAUAAACACCUUUCACUCAUACAAUCCAAUUUUUAAGAAGUCCAAUUGUUUUGAUGGUUUUCAAUUUCACCCGUUUCUCAAGGACAGGUAAAGAAUUUUUAGAAUUUUGAGGAUGACAAAAGUUAUGUUUUUAACUAUAUAAUUACGAUUUCUCUUUACUUUUUCAUCAAGCCUCACCAAUCAGAGCUCUGGUCUCUGGAAUUAAGCAUCAUCAAGCUCUCCUAUUAAUAAAUUUAAUUUAGAUCUCCUAAUUUCUUGCGUAUGUUCUUUCAGAUAGACCAUUAAAUGUGGAAGUCGUUUUGUUUUUAAAGGGAAGUCUUGGAGGAUUUUCAGUAAAUCUCUCCUGAGUCUGGCUGCCGUUGACAGUAGGGCUAUGAGUAGAUUGAUGAGAGCUCAUGCUGCCUCCGGAGCGCGGCCUGCGGAGCUGUCCAGACUCCGGGUGCUGAAGUGUAGGGUAACAGAUGCUACAAACGUUGAAAAUUGCCACCGGUUUAAUUUUUCACCAGAGCCUCUAAAUUUGAAGAUUUGGCAGUAGUGCUAUUAACGUGGCGAUUCAUCGCCUAAAUCACCCCCACCGUUCAGAUACAUCCUUUCCCUCUUGUAGCGUCCAUAAAUGCCCUAAUGCUGAGAAUGCUCCCCAUCCCUGCCUGGAUUUGAGGAAAAAGCAUUCUGUCCCCCGUUAGUCCUGGCUUUUGGAUUUCUAGACCGGCUGUUUGGCUACUUUCACACCUUCUGUGGCUCUUACAGAUUUUAAAAAUUGAUGUUGUGAAAUUGUGUUUUCCACAAGAAGUGAAAUUUUAAGAAUUUGGGGGCGAGAAAUAUGUUUUUCCACUUUGUUUACAACUUCAGCUCUGUUUGGGAGACACAGACAGACUGGGAAAGCAUGAGGGUUCCCAGUACAAGUUCACCUGAUGAAGGUUUCUAACAGGAAUCCCUCUGCUGGAAACAGUUAAUUUUUUUAACUGAAAAUGAUGUGGGAAGAGGAAAGCAAUAAGGGAAGACCAUAUCCACCCAGAGGCUUCCAAUUUCCUGGGUAAUUGAAGAAGGUUCAUAUAUUUCUACUCCAGUAAGAGAACUC